AAGCUCAAGCUGAAGUUUAGAGGUUAAGAGACCAAAUAGCUCAGAUGCAAGCGAACACGGUUGAGCAAAUUGCCGAGGUUCAACGAAAAUAUGAAGAACUCCAGCAACAACUUAGAGCAGAGGCAGCAGAGAGGGAGGCAGCGGCUGCAGCGAGAGAGGCAGAGGCACGAGCGAUGGUAGCAGAACAGAGCAAAAAGUACGAUGACCUCCAACUACAGCUUCAGCAGAUGAUGCAUAUGUUUCAACAAUCGCAAAAGCUGCCGUCUUAGACAUUAGUUUUCUUAUUGUAAGAAUGUUUUUAAGUUUUGUCACGUUUAACAUUAUUGUAAAAAUAUUUUAAAUUAUACUUUAUUAUUAAUUAUAUCAUAUAUCUUUUGUUAAAUUUGAAGUAUCAUUUAGAAUUAAUAUUUUUUGUUGUAUUUUUUAUGUUAAAUUUGCUGUUUUUGGCUGCAUUUUAUAUUAUAUUUGUUGUAUUUGGUUGGAUUUUAAUGCAGGAAGGGCUGGAUAUUGGUGAAAAAAAUUACUACAAAUCUGCCAAAUUUAGCGGCGUUUGUAAAAAAAGCGCCGCUAAAAGCCUUGACGUUUAGCGGCGCUUUACCCACAAACGACGCUAAAAGCCUUGACCUUUAGCGGCGCUUUUACCACAAAUGCCGCUAAAAGCCUUGACGUUUAGCGGCGCUUUUCCCACAAACGCCGCUAAAAGCCUUGACCUUUAGCGGCGCUUUUCCCACAAACGCCACUAAAAGCCUUGACCUUUAGCGGCGUUUUUUUCCAAUAAACGCCACAAAAAUUUGUGGCGUUACAUAUAGCAGCGUUUUUUACGGCGUUUUCCUGUAGUGCACUUCUGCUUUAGCCCCUAUUCUAUUUUUUUCACUUUGGGGAAUUUCUGCACUGCACUCUUUCGAGUUUCGUUUUAUUUUAAUGUUUGAAUCAGAUAGCAAAAUAAUUUUUUUUAAAAGAAAAAAAGUCAAUUAAAUUCUAAAAAGAAGUGUAGUGACAAGUGAUUAUGAUUAAAGUGUUAAGUAAUUAACAAUAAAAAAAAUAUGAUAAUUGAAGUGAUUGUAUAAAAAAAAAUAGAAAUGAAUGUGCUGUAGGUAAUCAACAAUAAGAGUGAUAGACAUUACAUGAACGAAAAAAAAUUCUAUGAAACAGUAAGGUCACUGUAUCCAAUUUUUAAUAAUUUAAUAUCACAAUAAUAUUUUUCAUCUUGAAUUUCAAUAACUUUAUCUUAAAAAAAUUAAAUAUAAAUAAAAAUUAUGAAAUUUAAAAUAAAAUUAUGAAUGUGACACUAUUAAAUAAUUGAAAAUAGAUAAUAUUUUUUCACUUUCAUGAACAUAUAGUAAUGAGACAAAAAUUACAAAGAUAGUAAACAUAGUGGAGAUUACUUAAAAGUUGAUGCAAUAUUUUGAUAAACAAAGUACAUACUAGCAUACUUAGAUGUAAGAGUAUUGUUAAUUUAGCUAGAAGGGAAAGUAUUCUUAUUACACUAAGGAAAGAUUAAAAAGUGAAAUCAUUAACAAUAUCCAUAUCUAAACUUUUAAGUCAUCUUUUUUAACUCCAGUUUAAUUGUAUUUCCUUUUUUACUUCUCAUUAAUCUAUGUUGAAGUGAAUUAUAUAUUUGAAACUACUACGAAUUAAAAAAAAAAUCAUAUUAAAUAAUAUUUUUCCUAGGAUUUUUGUUACCAAAUAGUAAUUUUACAAAAACAUAAGAAAAUAUGUUAUAAUUUUUAACUUCAAAUGUGGUCUGUUUGUUUCAUUUUUAAAUAAUUUUUUCACAAACUAUAUCCCUAAUUUUUAGAUUUAGUAUGAGUGGUUUGACAAUUGUUAUGAGUAAUUUUUUAUUCAAUAUAUCUAUUGGAACAAGUCUAGUAACUAAUCAUUUUACAUUCUGUAGAUUCAUUAAGAGAUAGAUGCUGACCACAAAUUUUAAAGUUGCUCUAUAUUCAGGAUAAAAAUUAAACCCUCGGCUAUUUAUAAACAAUUAUUGUUUGAUAAAUGCAUUGUAUAAUUAUUUACUAGAUAGAAAAGAAGAAGUAGCAAAAAGUUGGCGUAAUAAUAACUUUUGUAUCUAAAAUUUAGUUGAAUGCUUCUUCCGCUUUUCCUAUAAUCAUUUUGAUAUAAAUUAUUGUUCGUAUAACUUGUAAUAAAAACAAGUAGCUACGUAGACUUAUCUUCUUUCUUGGUGGGGAAACAAUUUUAAUCCACAUGUGGUGGUGUUGAAAUUUUUUUCCAUCUAUUAAAUGAUAUUAUGCUUAAUCCUAGAAUAAUGUUUUUUAAAAUUCUUCACAUAUUAUCAAAUUUUUGAGAUUUCAUCUUCAUGUUUAUAGCCAGAAAAUCAUUUUAUAUUACUAGUCUGCCUCAGAUAUAGUUAUAAGAACUCAAAUCAUAAUCAUAAGAAAAUCCAUCCCUUCGAUUAUGAUCGAAAUACGCUUCUGUUACGGUGGGUAUAAUACUAAAGAUAAAGGAAAAAGGAAGUGUUGAGGGUUGGACCCAACACGUUAGUUCUUUGUUUUCUUUAGGGGUUUUUGUCUUUCUAUUUGCUAAAGAGCUAUGGAUUUAAUUCCAAUCAUUCAUGUAAAAUCAAUCACUCUCUUCAAAUAUUUAAUGAAAUUUUCUCACGAAAACAAUAUAAGUUGGACGUUAAAAGAAAGCAAAUAAUGAAAUCGUUUGUAAUAAUUUUCAAGGUAGCGGAUGGGAGUGGAAGCGCAAAUAGUUAAAGUGGUGGCGGUAAGAAGUCAUUAUUGAAUUGUUAGACAAGGACAUGGAUCGUCGUCAAGCUUUCAUUUUCUGUUAAUGACAUAGUCCAUUGGUAGAUACAGAUAUGAAGGGGUUGAACUCAGCUCCUUUCCUGGGCGGCCCGUACCACUGGUACAGUGAUAGGGAAUUCAAGUGGUUCUCCUAAAACACCUCACAUCACCCUCCAGAAGUUUCCAGUAUUAACAUGAGAUUGACACGUGGAACUGAUGUUGAAUGCUCAAGGAAGAAGCUAAGGGAGGGGAAACAAGGAAUGGCAUUUUCUGGUGUCGGUAUAAGAAGCAAAAAUGGACGCGUGGAAACCAUAAUAUAAACAUGAAAAUGAAAGGCCAUUCAAAUUGAAAGCCUACUUUAACAAAGGAAAAUGGGAGUUUUGACAAUGGAGCCAUCAGGGAAAUCAAGGAAUGUGUGAAGAGCGAAACACACACACAUACAUUAUAACGGUAUAGUAACUAAAGUAAGGGAAAUAAGUAAGUUGAUUGGAAAGCUAGCUCUGGAUAAAUCGGCUGGUGUUGAGACUUCUCUUGGUUCUUUUUUUUUUUUUCUUCCUUCAUUUUAAUAUAAAAACUUCUUUAACCUGAAUUUUAUCAUAUCUUCACCUCAGAUCAUUAAUAUCUAAUUAAGUUUUUCAAAAUCAUUCCAUUUAUGUUUAUAUGUUUUAACGUCUAUUGAGGGUAAGUUGGUAAAGAUUAAUAAACUUUAGCACUUACUAUUUUUUACUUAAAUUUGGUUCAUCAACUUUUGUUUUUGGUUGAAACCAAGGUGUCUAUUAGAGGUAUUGAUUAAUCAUCUCUCCAUAGGUGCUAUUCAAAAAAGUAAUUGGUUUGUCAUUAAAUGUGUUCUAUUUCAAUGGAUGAGAUUAAACCUCCAACUUCAUAGUUAAGGAAUAAGAUGAACAAUUGUAACGCCUUCCACCCGACUUGAUUCAUCGAGUCUGGAUCUUAAGUGUUACUACUCAUGAUACUUAACAAAAUAUCGAACAGUUGACAAACAAUCUUUACUUAAAACAUUUUUCUUAUUAAUUUAACUAAGAGACUUAAUAUUUCAGAGCAAAGGAAAGUAUUAAAUAUAAUUUUUUACACCAAACUUGUUACAACUCAUUACAGUAUAAAAGUUUGUUAAAGACAGACUCUUAAGGCGUAACCCUAAUCUACGUCACUUAUCCACUGUAUGCAUAAUAACCCAUUUCAUCGCUACCUUGGCGCACUCUUGGGCUCGUCCCUCCUCGUGUUUUCUCUUACCACAAUAUCUGAAACAAUAACAGACAUUGUAAGUUCAAGAGAACUUAGUGAGCUUUAUUACAAAAAUAUCUUGAUGGAUACUUUAUAAUAUUCGUAGAAUAUUUAUGCGUCAUCUAUCCUUUUGAACCACUUAUUUCUGUAUCAAGCGGAUACUAUUACACUUUUGGCUUACUCUCGCCAACUACCAUACUAUUAGCUUACCAAUUCUCUCUUAACUAACCAACUUAGGAUCUUUCCAUACAUUUCAUUAAUCUUUUCUUUCACUUAACCACAAAAGUACUUUUUCAAAGAAUAUACCUUUGGAGCCCACUUCACAUAGACCCUCUCCUCACAUAUAAACUUAUUCCAAAAUAGUUGUUCAUAGAUAUUAAUCCCUAACGAAUAUAUACACGUUUAGCAGAUACUUUCACAGAACUGAAUAUCAUCUGUCCACUAAUCAAAUCAUAUUCUUGUACAAUAGUCCAUAAACUCGUACUGAUAAUGAACUAUACAGAUCAUUCAAAUGAACUUCACAUAAAAAUUUGUUACAGAAUCCAGGAUACUUAAAAUAACGAUGUCUCGAAUAUGAGAUUUCAGAAGAAGACAUGGCACUGUUCAAAUAUGACGGAAAUCAUAUACUCAUAUUUUCAGCACUAAAAUGCAAACAAACUUGAAUUGACAAUUUCUUAUAUCUUUCAUAUCCAUGAAUACACCCAUUUUCAAAACUAACAAAUUACCAUGGCGAAUACCCUUUCCAACAUACAAAUACACAUUUCUUUUCAAAACUUCCUUUAUCUAAUUCAACCAAAUUCACCUUAUCAUUGAAAUAUCUAUCACAGAACAAUCAAAAUUUACCUAGACCUUAUCAUAAGGGCGGAUAAGCAUACUUUACCAAAUAGACUUUGCAAAGUUUGCCACAGGGGCCAAAUAGAAUACGCCAUAAAGGCAUCAUACAGAUUCACGUACUUAUUGUCCCGAUAGACUCUCACAGAAGGUGUCAUAGGUUUCUCCCUCAUGGACUUAUACAUAAUUUCAUGCAUCGUGAUCUGUCAAUUCGAUUUAAACAUUAUCGAAUCCUACACCAUGAACAUACAUAAAGACAAAUCUUACAUUGGGCUUCAGCCACAUGGACUUAUACACAUUCAUGUAUUGUGAUUUGCCAAUCCAAUCUUCAACUUAUUGGAGGCUACACCAUGAGUGUUCUUAUAUCAUAUGACACCAUGGGUCUUAACCUCAUGGUCUUACACUUGAUUUCAUAUCGUGAUUUGUUAAUCUAGUUAGCAAUAUAAUUGCCCUACCAGCACUACAAGAAAAAUAGGGCUUUAGCGGCGUUUUUAGCGGCGUUUUAUCAAAAAACGCCGCAAAAAUUGUAAAACACAGAGCAAUAGCGGCGUUUUAUCCAAAAUGCCGCUAAAAAUAGAGCAUUAGCGGCGCUUUUGGUAAAACGCCGCUAAAAAACAGAGCAUUAGCGGCGCUUUUGGUAAAACGCUGCUAAAAACGGAGCAUUAGCGGGACUUUUGGUAAAACGCCGCUAAAAAUCAGAGCAUUAGCGGCGCUUUUGGUAAAACGCCGCUAAAAAUAGGAUCAAUAGUGGCGUUUGUGGUCAAAACGCCACUAAAAGUCUCACAUAACCCCUAAAGUUCUAACCCCUCAAAAAAUCAUAAACACUAAUCUAUAACCCCUAAAACAGUAAACCCAUAAACACUAAACUAUUACCCCUAAAACCCUAAACCAGUUUAUGUUCAUAAUAAACUAUGGAAACAAUACUUAAUAUUGAUUACAUUUAUUUUUGGGUUUAGGGUUUAAGGUCUAUGGUCUAGGGUUUUAUGGUUUAAGGUUUAAUGGCCAUGGGUAUAUAGUAUGUUAAUCUCAAGUGAAUCAUAUUCACUAAUUAAAUCCUAAACCUUAUAAUUAAUAUAUAUUUAGGGGCAUAAGUAGGGGGUUGAAAGGGUAUCUGCUCCUCUAAAAAUGAAAAAUUUUCCAUUUCGGUUUUUUGAAAUUUUGAAAAAAUUUAAAGGUAAAAUUGAACUUCAUCCCUUUGAAUAGUGGAAAAUUUUUUAUUUAAUCAUUUCAAAAUUAUAAAAAUAUAUGCUAAACUUUAAUCGUUUAAAGUUUAGAUGAUAAAGGGGUAAGGAUAAGAGAUUAAUGGGUAGAAGUUUAAGGUUUAUGUUUUAUGGCUUAGGGUUUGGGGUUUAGGGUUUAAUAUUUAGGUGUUAGGGGUUUUAGGGUUAAGGGACAUGGGUUAGGGGUUUAGGGUAAUUAGUGUGAAAAAUAUAUGUUAAAAAAUUAAAAUACUACUAUUUAAAAUAAUUUUAAAGUUUAUUUGGGUAUACAACUGAUUAUUUUUUAAUCUAUAUAUUAAAUAAUUUCAAAUUUUAAAGAAUUAAAAUUUUAAAAAAUUUUCAAGUUUUCAAAUUUUCAAAUUUUAUGUAAUUCUUUGAAAUAUUAGUUAAAUUUUAAAAAUUUAUUUAUUUAAAUAAAAAAAAUUAAAAUACUAUUAUUUAAAAUAAUUUUAAAUUUUUCUGGGUAUAUAAGUGAUUGUUUUUUAAUUUAUAUUGUUUUUAAUUUAUAUAUUAAAUAGUAUUAAUUUUAAAAGGCAUUAGCGGCGUUUAUUUAGAAAACGCCACAAAAGGUUUGAUAUAGCGGCGUUUUUAUAAAAAACGCCGCAAAAUAUCAUUAUGUAUUAAACAAAACGGAGCCGUUUUAUUGGAUUUGUUAGUGGCGUUUUGCGCAAAACGCCGUAAUAGGUGCGUUUUUAGCGGCGCUAGGCUAUAAACGCCGCUAAAGGUGAUUUCGGUUAAAACAAAAACGAUGUCGUUUUGUUAUAUAUUAGUGGCAUUUUGGGGCUAAACGCCGCAAUAGGUGCGUUUUAGCGGCGCUAAGGUAUAAACGCCGCUAAAGGUGAUUUCGGUUAAAACAAAAACGGCGUCAUUUUAUUAUAUUAUUAGUGGCGUUUUGAGGCUAAACGCCACAAUAGGUGGUUUUUAGCGGCGCUAGGUUAUAAACGCCGCUAAUGUUAAAUUAUUUUGUUCAAAACUUCGUCGUUUAACACAUUACUUUUAUCCCUCUUUACUUUUCCGUCAUUUAGGCUACAGCGUUUCCCCUAUUUUUCCCCAGUUCUAUUUCUCCCUUCUUCCUCAUCCUAAAUCCUUAAAUCCCUAACUAAUUUUCCCCGAUUUGAAAUCCCGAAGAUUCACCCCUUCCACCCGCCUUCCAGUCAAUUCCCUGUAAUCCCAUCUAUCAUUUCCCUAUUUUUCCCCAAUUUUAUCACCCAUUCCCGAAUUCAACAUCCCAAAUCCCUAACGAUUUUUCCCCGAUUUGAAAUCCAUAAGAUUCGCCCCUCCCACCAACCUUCCAGUCAAUACCCCAUAAUCCCAUCUAUAGAAAAUCGAAUUAAGAAAGGGCAAGGGUUUCAGAAGUUGGGUUUCGGGUUGAAGAAAAUAGUUGAAGUUAAGUAUUUACCGAUAUUUUGUAUUAGUAUUAGUUUUUGUUGUUGAUUUAGCUAUUUUUUGGUUGCCUUUGUUAAUUUGUUUUUGUCUUUUUACAGAGAAAAGUCUCGCAGAGGCUGCAAGAGUUAGGGUAAAAAACCAAAAAAAAUUCCAUUACUUUUGGAUGAUAGUAAGCUUCGAUUUAUUGUGUGGUUUUAUUGGGUUCUAUUAAUUUGCAUUUGCGUAUAAUUGUUUGAUUGGGUUCUAUUAAUUUAUGGUUUGAUAGGCAUUUUACAGAGAAAAGUUUUGCAGAGCAAGAGUUAGGGUAAAAUACCCAGACAGAACUCCAUUACUGUUGGACGACGGUAAGCUUCAAUUUUUUGUUGUUUGUAGUUCGAGACAUGAAAUUAACCUUUGGUAAUAAUUGGUGGAAUUAAUCUUGGGAAUUAACCAUUCUAUUUAAAUAGAUAUAAUUUUAACAUAUUCGUAUGCAUGUUGAUAAAUUAUGUUCGAUGCUAUAGCUUUUUGGCUACUUUGUACUAUUGUAAAAUAUUUUAGUAGUCUUAUUUUAGGCAUGCAGUACCUGGUCCAGUAAGAUAAAUAACCUGAAACUACCCACUUUAUGUUUGAAAUGUAUUUACUAGGAUUACUUUAGUUGCAUUCUUUUGGAGAAAUAAUGGGGUGGAGUAUGGCAUGAUAGAGUGCCUGUUCCAUAACAACUUUGAGAGGAAGAAUCAAUCCCGAUCAAGUUAAACCAGCUAGUUAUAACACUUAGGGGAUUGGUUUAUGUUGGUUUUCCUCCAUGACUUUUAAGUUUUAUAGUAAAUACAUUUUUUGAGAGUUGAACCUUAAAAUGAAAGUUCCAUUAUAUAAAAGUAAAAAAGGUAGUUCUUAGAUCCUAUUCUUUAAUGAUUCCAGAAAGAAAGGUCCGAAGGGAUAUUCUGCUAGUGACUUGUGUGAUAAGAAGAAUAUACUGCUCUCCAAUACAUAUUUUUGGUUUUCAGUAAACAGAAUUUAACAUGGAAUAUGGGUAAGGUUGAUUUUGAUAUCAAUAGAUGUAGUUUAAUGUGUAGAUUUCUUUAAGAUUUUAUUAUGGUUGACAUUUUUUUUUAUUUUGGUUGACAUUUUUUUAUUUUUGAGUUUUGUUCAGUUUGUAAAAUCCAAAUUUAUGAAUAUGUUUUGGUUAUUUAUAAUUUUUAAUUCUCUUAUUUAUCAAUCUAACAAAGUUGUUUUUCUUGUUGUGGUGCUUACUUUGUCAAAUGUUUGUCUAACAGUUACCUCUGGUAUGUGAUUCUGUAACAACAGCUAUAGUCGAGUAGAAUAAAGAUAACUCAACUUGAACAAGAACUUCAGAGAGCACGAUCUCAGGUUAUUAUUUUUUCUUUAUUAUAUUGAUUACGAUUUAUAUAUAUUUAUAUAUAUUUCUUUCUUCCGUUGUUCUAUCUGUUUCAAUCGAUCCGACUUUGGACUUCUCAUAUAUUUGCUUCUCUACCCUUGAUCAUUUUCAUAACCGAGUUUUGCUUCUAUGGGCUUUAAAUUACAGAGCAUUUUAUGCAGAAUUUGAUUUUUUGUUUUUGUUUUUAUAUUUAUUUAGCUAAAUAAAUAAUUAUGAAAAUAUUUCUUUUACAUCGAUAGAUCUUUUAUAUUUCAUUCUUUUAUAUAAUGCAUGUAAAAGUUGGAAUUACGACAACUGGUUUAAAUAUUUGUUUUCUGUAAAUCAACUUUCAAUCUUUCAAUUCAUAUUAAUAUAGAUAAUAUUUUGAUGGUAAAAAAAAUAUAAUAUUUUAGGUCGUUAUGAUAGAAAUAUAAACUAAAUACAAUUAUAUUGAUAACUUUAAUAGAAAUUAAUAAAAGGUUUAAAAGCGGAUUAGUUAUAUUGUAAUGUUUUAGUAAUUGGACCAGACAUUAAAUUGGUGAGCUUUAAUCGAUUGGUUGUGUUAAUAAUAAUUUAAAUAUAAAACAAGUAAUUUUAAUAUUAAAUGAGUAUUGAAUAUAACAAAUAUUAAAUAAAGAAUAUUUUCGAUUAAAUAGUAGAAAUUUUGCCUAUAUCUUUCAAAAUACGUAUUAACUGGUAAAAAGAAACAAUUUUCUAAGACCCCAAAAAUGAAAUCAUUUAAUAUAUGCCUUUGUUAAUUAAUGCUUCAGUAAUCAAUUUGAUAGCAUUUUUUUCCCAUCAAAUUAACUCUUUCUUGUGUUAUCUAUUACAAAUUAAUUAAAUAAUAUUAUUUUACCUUGAAUAAUAAAAUGCUGUUUCUUUUCUUAUCUAUUACAAAUCAAACUAUUUUAUGAAAAACUAAUUUAAAUUAAAGAAACAAAGAAAAUUGAAUACCUCCUAAGUUAUUCCACUCUAAAUAUAAUUUAUUUAUAUUUUGAAUUAUAAAAUGCUAUUUCUUUUCUCCUAUCCCUCAAACCAUUGCCAAAUUGCAACACAUUUCAUUCCUUCUUACACUUUCAUAUAUGUCUACUGUUUUAGUUUAUUUAUAUUAAAUAAUAAUAUUUAAUUUGUUUUUUAUAUUCAAUUAAAAAUUAUCACAAAUAAUUUGGAUUAAUUUAUUUAAAUAUUAUUUAAUUAAAAUAGUUUUUUAAAGGGAAAUAAUAUUUAUCUUAAUGUUAAAUAUAUAUCAUAUAAUAAUUUACAAAACUAACAUAAUACAUAAAUAUAUAUCAUAUAAUAACUUGCAAAACUUACAUAAUACAUAAAUAUAUAUCAUAUAAUAACUUACAUAACUUACAAAACUUACAUAAUACAUAAAUAUAUAUCAUAUAAUAACUUACAAGACUUACAUAAUACAUAAAUAAUAUAUAUCAUACAAUAACUUACAAAACUUACAUAAUACAUACCUUAUAUAAAUUUAUAUCAUAUCAUAACUUGCAUAACAUACAAAACUUACUUAACUUACGUAAUAUAUAAAUAUGCACUUGAAAAUCCCGCAACUUACCUGAAGUAGUUUACAUCCAUUAGAUACUUGAUACUUGAUAUGUAUUAUCUAUUUUAGUAACCGUAAUUGAUUGUUAACUUUAGAAUUCAAGAACUACAAAAUGGAUUGGAGUUGAAUGAAUUUUUCAAGGGUAAGCAAUGCCUAUCGAAAUGGAGUACAAACUUUUCUAAAUUUUGCAUUUCAAAAUGCAAGCCAAGAGAAAAUGAUUAUUUGCCUGUGUAAGAAGUGUGGCAAUAUCAAUUGACAUUUUCGUGAAGUUGUCUACGAACAUCUAAUUGUUGAUGGCUUUAUUCGGGGGUAUAAAAAAUGGAUUUUUCAUGGAGAGUGUACAUCUAGUGGAACUUCUUCAACGAUUAAUCUGACUUAUCCUGGUACUGCUUACCAUCAGAAUGUUAGACAAGAUGACAUGGAAGGUAUGUUGCGGGAUGCAUUUAAUAUGCACAGUCAUGGUGAGCAAUCGUUUCCACCUGACUUUAUUGCAUCCGAUGACUGUAAUAUUGGUGGGAAUGUUUUUGGCAAAACGGGAACAAGUGCACCUUAUGAGGAGCCAAAUAAAGAAGCGGCGAAGUUCUACAAUUUACUUAAUGAAAUGAACGAAGAACUUUAUGAGGGAUCAAAAUAUUCGAAAUUGUCCUUCUGCAUUCGUCUAUUUCACUUAAAAUGUUUGGGGGGUGGACUGGAAACUCUUUUACAAUGCUGCUAGAGUUUCUGAAAGAGAUGUUUCUAUUUCCAAAAAUCCCCCAAUCUUGUCAAGAUAUGAAGAGACUAAUAAAAUAUUUGGGCCUUGGGUACGAUAAAAUUCAUAGUUUCCCAAAUGACUGCAUGUUGUACUGGCGUGAUCAGAAGAACCAACAGUGUUGUAAUGUUUGCGGCAAGUCUCGUUGGAUGAAUAGGAAUACAGAAGAUGUGAAUGCGGAUGAAUAUGGGGCACAGUUAAGAAAGAAGCCAGUCAAGGUUUUGCGAUACUUUCCCCUAAUACCAAGACUUCAAAGGCUUUUCAUGUCGUCAAAGACGGCCGAAUCUAUGAGGUGGCAUAAUGAUCAACGGACCGAUGAUGGAUUAUUAAGACAUCCUGCGGAUUCUUUAGCUUGAAAAUCAUUUGACAUGAAAUUUCCAAGCUUUGCAAGCGUUCCUCGAAAUGUGAGGCUUGGGCUAGUAGCUGACGGCUUUAAUCCAUUUAAAAUCAUGGGUACUUCGUACAGUACUUCGCCUGUGGUGCUUGUUUCUUACAAUUUACCUCCAUGGAUUUGCAUGAAGCAAUCUUCGUUUAUUUUAUCAAUGAUUAUUCCUGGAGAGAAAGGUCCCGGAAAUGAUAUUGACAUCUAUUUGCAGCCACUUAUUGAAUAGUUAAAACAAUUAUGGUCGGGUGUUGAGACAUAUGAUGUAUUCAGAAAGGAGAACUUUUAUUUACGUGCAGCUUUAUUGUGGACAAUUAAUGAUUUCCCGGCUUAUGCUAAUUUAUCGAGUUGGAGUACUAAAGGACGUUAUGAUUGUCCUUGUUGUGCUGCGCAAACUUGUUCGAAGUGGUUGUACAAUGGGAAGAAGUUCUCUUACAUGGGUCAUCAUCGGUGGUUAGAUGGAAAUCAUAAAUUUAAAUUUCAGAGGACUCUAUUUGACAGUACUGAAGAGUACAGAGGAGCUCCUGAGCAGACCGUUGGAUCUAAAAUCUUGUUUAUGUUAAAAGAGAUCAACUUCAGUUAUGGGAAGAAGAAUCAACCACCUAAUACGCAAUCAAAGAGAAGAUUGAGGGAUGAAUCUAAUGAUGAAUCUGACGAAAAGAAUGAUCCUAAUGAGGCAGACUUGUGGAAAAAAAGAAGCAUUUUUUUUAGUUGCCUUAUUGGGAGCAUAACAUUUUACGCCACAAUCUUGAUGUCAUGCAUAUUGAGAAGAAUGUCUGCGAGAACAUAAUUGGGACAAUUUUGAAUGUCAAUGGAAAAUCAAAAGACAAUCUUCAGAGUCGACUUGAUUUAGUUGACAUGAGAAUUCGGCGUGAUCUUCAUCCUCAAGUACUUCCGAAUGGGAAAUAUUGGUUGCCGCCUUCUAUUUUUUCAAUGUCAAAGGAAGAGAAAGAGGUGUUUUGUAUGGUGUUGAAGGAUAUAAAGGUCCCAGAUGCGUAUGCGUCAAAUAUAUCUCGAUGUGUGAGUCUUAAAGAUCGAAGAUUAUAUUCACUAAAAUCACAUAAUUACCACAUCUUGAUGCAAAAUUUACUCACAGUUGCUUUAAAGUGCUGCAUGUCAAAAAAUGUGACGUCCUGUAUAAUUGAAUUAUCCAAUAUAAUGAAAGCUAUUUGUGGCAAAGUUUUGGAUGCUGAAGAACUUAAGAAAGUACAAGAUCGAGCUGCUUUGACUUUAUGCAAUUUGGAGAAGAUCUUUCCACCUUCCUUCUUCAUUAUUAUGGUGCACUUGGUAAUCCAUCCCCCUCAUGAAGCAAUACUUGGUGGACCGGUUUUUUAUCGAUAUAUGUAUCCUAUAGAAAGGUGCUAAUUUAUUUGUCAAGUAUUUAUUUAACUUUUGAUAAAUAUUGUAUAUCGUGUUUAGGUUCCUAAGCAAAUUGAAAUCUUAUUGUCGCAAUAAGCGUUAUCCAGAAGGAUCAAUUGCUGAAGGCUACUUGGCAGAUGAGUGCAUGACAUUCUGUUCUAGAUAUUUAGAAGAUGUUGAAACACGAUUGAAUAGACCAAAUAGAAAUGUUGGGCUCAAUGAUCAUAACUUGGCCGAAACUUAUUUAUUCCAAAGUUAUGGAAAACCAAUCGGCAAAGUUGAAAUUGCAGAAUUAGAUGAUAUAUCGUGGAUACAAGCACAUCGAUAUGUACUUUUUCACCACGAUUUAGUUGAACCGUUACGCAAGUAAGUUCUAAAUUUCCUCACAUAUUCGUCGUUUUGAUUUGUUUAUCUUCUAACCAAUUACAAUUGUUUUUAACAUAGUGAGUACAGACAAAUUUUGAGAUGUCAUGCACGCUCUCGAAGAUUGCAACAUCGAGAGAUUAAUAAGUUAUUCACGGAAUCUUUUCAUGAAUGGUUACGUCAAACGGUAUGUAACUAAAGUUAAUAAGUUACAUAUAAUUGCGAAAUUUAGUUAAUUAUUCAAUUUACUUUCGAUUCAAUAGGUUUGGAGUGGAAAGGACGUCAAUGACGAAGUUAAAUGGCUUUCCCAAUAUCCGAACAGAGUAAUAAAAAGGUAUAGUGCCUUCCUCAUCAAUGGAUACAAUUUCAUACAAAGUAUCGUGAGAGAAUGAGGAAAACUCAAAAUUGUGGAGUUGUUGUUAAUUCUUCAAUUACAAGUUAUACUAGUGCUAGGGACAGUAAUCCGAUUGAGGGUAAUGUGGAGUAUUACGGACUUCUUAUCGACAUUAUUGAGUUGGAUUACUAUGGCAGAUGGAAAGUUGUCUUAUUUCGGUGUGAUUGGGCUGAUGUUAAUACUGCUCGAGGAAUUAAAGAAGAUCAAUUUGGUUUUACAAUGUUGAAUUUCUCUCGUUUGAUUCACACUGGACAACAAUUGAUGGACGAGCCAUAUGUAUUUUCCUCUCAAGUGAAACAAGUUUUUUAUUCAAAAGAUCCAACUGAUGAGGGUUGGUAUGUUGUACUCCAGAACACCCCUAGAGACUUGUUUGACAUGGGUAAUGGAAGUAGAGAUGACAUCGUCGAAAGAUUAGAAACAUUACCUUUUUCAGAACAAAACUUAGAUGAAAAUAUCCCUAGUACUAGUACACAACAUCAAUGGGUUCGACAUGAUGUGGAUGAAGAUAUUUACGAAUAAUGAUGUAGUAAGAUUUUACGAUUUUUUAAUUAUAUGUAAUAUUAUAAUUUUAAUCUUUGUCAUGUUAUAUAAUUUAACUAUUUUAUAAGUACUACUAUUGUUGUAAUUUGUUACUAAAACUUUAACUAUUUUAUGUGUAUUGCAGGAAAAAUGCGUAGAAGAAGAUUACGAGAUUUAAGUAUUGUCCAGAAUACUCCAAAUUCGGAAGAAGGAAAUAGUGAACAGCAGACAGUUGUUGGAUCUUCGAAUGUGCCAGAGACACUUGAUGAGCCUAAAGAAUUUCAAAGUAAUGUUAUGUUCAUUUUACAUGUGUUGACUUUUAUUAUUGAAUUAUUUGUCAAUUUUAAUAUAAUAAUAGUAUAUCAUUUUUCAGCUGAAAGUGGUUGGAAGCGCAGAGUUUGAGGACAUACGCUGCUUAGAGAUUUAUACGACUUAGAUCCUGUCGAGCGUGUUAAAGUAAAUAGAAAUACUCAUGGUCAGCCUGUUGGAUCUGAAGCUCGAGUUUUAGCAGGCUAUUUGGGCAUUUUAGCACGAAAUGCAAAUAUGUUGCCCAUCAACUACGAAUCAUGGCAUCACAUGCCUGAUAGCAACAAAAACCAGGCUCUCGCUAAUAUUAAGGUAACAAAAUGUGAAUGCAAUUUAUAAUACUUUGGUUUAAGUUUCAUUUAUAUUUACAUUCUAAACUUAUGUUUUUUUAGGAGAGAUUUGCUUUAGAAGUCUCCGAUGAUUAUAUCAAGAAGGCAUUAGGUAAAAGAUGGAGAGACAAUAAAAGCACUUUAAAGAAACAAUAUUUUAAGAAAGACAUAAGCCUCGAGGAAAAACUGAGAAAUGUUCCGCCAGGAAUGCUGAGGUAUCAAUGGGAAGAUGCGGUUAGAUUUUGGAAUUCAAAGAAAGGAGAGGUAUUGCGUAUUUCCAAACUCUUAUAUAUAGUGUUUACUAUAUACGUAAUAAUAAUUUUAUUAUGUAGGACCGUGAGCGAGUUGGAACAAGCAGCAGGCAAAAACAAAAAUUCACGCACACGGCAGGGUCGAGAAGUUUUGCUUCUGUAGCUGAGGCCGAGGUAUUAUGAAUUUAUUAAUUCUUUCAAAUAUUAAUAACUUUCUAUUAUUAAAUAAUAUUCUUACUACUAUAUUGUAGGAAGUCAAAUCCGGACAAAAAGUUGGACGCCUUCAGCUUUUUGAGAUUACGCAUUGGAAGAAAGAUGGAUCUCCUAUGACAUCCGAAGCUGGAGAAAUUAUGGUAUAUUCACUUAAUAAUAUUUGAUUUAUUCUAAAUAUUUAUAAUCUUUAAUUAUAAUUGUUUAAUUCAAUUCAUCAUUAGUAGUUUUAAAAAAUGUUAAGUUAUGUUGCAUUUCUUUUUAUUAUAUAUUUCGUUUCUAACUCUUUAAUUGAUUUUUUAGGAGAAACUAAAGGAGAAGAAGGCGGAAUAUGAAGCGAUUGCUUCGAGUGAUAGUUCUGUUAAUCUUGAGAACAUUGAUAACAGAAUUAUCACUGAAGUUUUGGGUCCUAAAAGGUACGGUCGGGUUCGAUUUCAAGGAUCUGGUGUUACCCCGACCCAAUAUUUUGGAUCUGGCUCCCAGCAAUACAUGCCUUCCGGAAGUCAAGCUCAAGCUGAAGUUCAGAGGUUAAGAGACCAGAUAGCUCAGAUGCAAGCGAACACGGUUGAGCAAAUUACCGAGGUUCAACAAAAAUAUGAAGAACUCCAGCAACAACUUAGAGCAGAGGCAGCAGAGAGGGAGGCAGCGGCUGCAGCGAGAGAGGCAGAGGCACGAGCGAUGGUAGCAGAACAGAGCAAAAAGUACGAUGACCUCCAGCUACAGCUUCAGCAGAUGAUGCAGAUGUUUCAGCAAUCACAAAAGCCGCCAUCUUAGACAUUAGUUUUCUCGUUGUAAGAAUGUUUUUAACUUUGUCACGUUUAACAUUAUUGUAAGAAUAUUUAAAAUUAUACUUUAUUUAUUAAUUAUAUCAUAUAUCUUUAGUUAAAUUUGAAGUUUCAUUUAGAAUUAA
rnacentral:lncRNA from 1 species